CUGCCGCCACUGCCAAAGAAGUGAGGAGAAGCUGUGGCGACGUUUCCGGUGAGCUCUCGCUACUGCCUCUCCUCAUUUCUCUGGUGAUGGGGGUGGGGUGGGAGGCACCUAUGGUGGCACUGGCGCCUGCCACGAGAGAAGUGAGGAGAGGCAACUCCUCUUUUCGCCUCAGGUGGCAAAAUGGGAUAGGCCGCCACGAAACAGUGUACAAUAACAACCAAUUUAUCAGGACUGCAAGGUGGGGAGUGUAAACACCUCAACAGAACCACUAAUAAAAGCUUCAGAUUCAGUCGGUCUGAUUUGAGGAUGCCACCUGACACAAUCCCUUUCAAAAAGCUACAGGAUUCCCCCUAAAGAAAUGCACUGCAUCUAAGCAGAAUGGAUGGAGAUGUGAGUAGGGGACAUCCUAACAAAAUCCUACUCACCAAGAGCAGAGAGGCUAUUACUUGAGGGAAAUGAAAGUACAAUUUGUUUCAUUUUAAGCAACAGAUCAGCUGUAUCAAGUAAUUUUUAGGUCACAAAAGGAGAUUUGGACCACACUAUUGAAAAACACACCGUCCACGAAGCUGGAAUACUUUUCUUGUGAAGAGCAUUCAUAAACUAAUUUA